rnacentral:rRNA from 1 species
AUUGAACGCUGGCGGCAUGCCUUACACAUGCAAGUCGAACGGCAGCACGGGUGCUUGCACCUGGUGGCGAGUGGCGAACGGGUGAGUAAUACAUCGGAACAUGUCCUGUAGUGGGGGAUAGCCCGGCGAAAGCCGGAUUAAUACCGCAUACGAUCCACGGAUGAAAGCGGGGGACCUUCGGGCCUCGCGCUAUAGGGUUGGCCGAUGGCUGAUUAGCUAGUUGGUGGGGUAAAGGCCUACCAAGGCGACGAUCAGUAGCUGGUCUGAGAGGACGACCAGCCACACUGGGACUGAGACACGGCCCAGACUCCUACGGGAGGCAGCAGUGGGGAAUUUUGGACAAUGGGCGAAAGCCUGAUCCAGCAAUGCCGCGUGUGUGAAGAAGGCCUUCGGGUUGUAAAGCACUUUUGUCCGGAAAGAAAUCAUUGACUCUAAUACAGUCGGGGGAUGACGGUACCGGAAGAAUAAGCACCGGCUAACUACGUG